UACGUAGGUGGCAAGCGUUGUCCGGAAUUAUUGGGCGUAAAGCGCGCGCAGGCGGUCCUUUAAGUCUGAUGUGAAAGCCCACGGCUCAACCGUGGAGGAUCAUUGGAAACUGGGGGACUUGAGUACAGAAGAGGAAAGCGGAAUUCCACGUGUAGCGGUGAAAUGCGUAGAGAUGUGGAGGAACACCAGUGGCGAAGGCGGCUUUCUGGUCUGUAACUGACGCUGAGGCGCGAAAGCGUGGGGAGCAAACAGG
rnacentral:rRNA from 1 species